rnacentral:rRNA from 1 species
CCCUUCGGGGCUCCUUGGUGAAUCAUAAUAACUUAACGAAUCGCAUGGCCUUGCGCCGGCGAUGGUUCAUUCAAAUUUCUGCCCUAUCAACUUUCGAUGGUAGGAUAGUGGCCUACCAUGGUGGCAACGGGUAACGGGGAAUUAGGGUUCGAUUCCGGAGAGGGAGCCUGAGAAACGGCUACCACAUCCAAGGAAGGCAGCAGGCGCGCAAAUUACCCAAUCCCGACACGGGGAGGUAGUGACAAUAAAUACUGAUACGGGGCUCUUUUGGGUCUCGUAAUUGGAAUGAGUACAAUCUAAAUCCCUUAACGAGGAACAAUUGGAGGGCAAGUCUGGUGCCAGCAGCCGCGGUAAUUCCAGCUCCAAUAGCGUAUAUUAAAGUUGUUGCAGUUAAAAAGCUCGUAGUUGAACCUUGGGUCUGGCUGGCCGGUCCGCCUCACCGCGAGUACUGGUCCGGCUGGACCUUUCCUUCUGGGGAACCUCAUGGCCUUCACUGGCUGUGGGGGGAACCAGGACUUUUACUGUGAAAAAAUUAGAGUGUUCAAAGCAGGCCUUUGCUCGAAUACAUUAGCAUGGAAUAAUAGAAUAGGACGUGCGGUUCUAUUUUGUUGGUUUCUAGGACCGCCGUAAUGAUUAAUAGGGAUAGUCGGGGGCGUCAGUAUUCAGCUGUCAGAGGUGAAAUUCUUGGAUUUGCUGAAGACUAACUACUGCGAAAGCAUUCGCCAAGGAUG